rnacentral:rRNA from 1 species
CGUUUCUUGAGUUUAAUUAAUAAGAAAUAAAAUCUGCCCACUGAAGUAUUUAAAGGGCCGCGGUAUUAUGACCGUGCAAAGGUAGCAUAAUCAGUAGUCUCUUAAUUGGGGACUGGAAUGAAUGGAAAGAUGAGAUAAAAACUGUCUUAAAUUUAAAUGUUGAAUUUAGCUUUUUAGUAAAAAGGCUGAGAUAAAAUUGAGGGACGAGAAGACCCUAUAGAGUUUUAACAUAAAAAGUUCUAAAUUAUGGGAAAGAAAAUGAUACGAAUAUUGAUUUGUUUUUAUUGGGGUGAUAAGAGAAUAAAAGGAACUUCUCUAAGAAUAAACAUAAAUGAAUGGAAUUCAAGGAGCUUAUAUUAUAAAUUAAGAGAACAAAUUACCUUAGGGAUAACAGCGUAAUUUUAUUUGAGAGUUCAAAUCGAUGAUAAAGUUUGCGACCUCGAUGUUGGAUUAAAAUAAAGUAGUGGUGUAGAAGCUAUAGAUUUUGGUCUGUUCGACCAUUAAAAUUUUACA